rnacentral:ncRNA from 1 species
UAAAGGUUUGGUCCUGACUUUACUAUCAAUUAUAACUAAAAUUACACAUGCAAGUAUCCGCAUCCCAGUGAGAAUGCCCCACAGUUUCCUACUUGGAAACAAGGAGCUGGUAUCAGGCACACAUUCAGCCCACAACACCUUGCUUUGCCACACCCACAAGGGAAACAGCAGUGAUAAACAUUAAGCCAUUAGUGAAAACUAGACUUAGUUAAAGUUAAAAGAGCCGGUAAAACUCGUGCCAGCCACCGCGGUUAUACGAGAGACUCAAGUUGAUAUGCAACGGCGUAAAACGUGGUUAAGGUAAAACCUAAGAUAAAGCCAAAUACUAUCACAGUUGUUAUACACACCCGAUAGAUAGAAGUCCAAUCAUGAAAAUAACUUUACAAAACCUGACCCCACGAAAGCUAAGAUACAAACUGGGAUUAGAUACCCCACUAUGCUUAGCCUUAAACAUUAAUAGGACCACACACUCCUAUUCGCCCGGGAACUACGAGCACUAGCUUAAAACCCAAAGGACUUGGCGGUGCUUAACAUCCACCUAGAGGAGCCUGUUCUAUAACCGAUAACCCCCGUUAAACCUCACCUUUUCUUGCCCACCCCGCCUAUAUACCGCCGUCGUCAGCUUACCUCCUAAGAGAAUUAUAGUAAGCAAAAUUAGUAUAACCCAAAACGUCAGGUCGAGGUGUAGCAUAUGAAUUGGAAAGAAAUGGGCUACAUUCUCUAUAAUAGAAGAUACGGACAAUAAAUUGAAAUAUAGAUUUGAAGAAGGAUUUAGAAGUAAGCUGAAAAUAGAGCGUUCAACUGAAACCGGCCAUAAAGCGCGCACACACCGCCCGUCACUCUCCCCGGACAAAACAAACAAAUAAAUAAUAAAUUAAAUACAUAAAGGGGAGGCAAGUCGUAACAUGGUAAGUGUACCGGAAGGUGUACUUGGAAAAAU